AUAUCAAUAAGCGGAGGAAAAGAAACCAACAGGGAUUGCCUUAGUAACGGCGAGUGAAGCGGCAAAAGCUCAAAUUUGAAAUCUGCCUAUGGCCGAGUUGUAAUUUGAAGAUACGUUUCUGAACAUGUCUUUGCUCAAGUUUCCUGGAACGGAACAUCAUGGAGGGUGACAAUCCCGUGAGGCAGAGGUCGCAUGUUUGUGUAGAGCGAUAUCGACGAGUCGAGUUGUUUGGGAAUGCAGCUCAAAGUGGGUGGUAAAUUCCAUCUAAAGCUAAAUAUUGGCGAGAGACCGAUAGCGAACAAGUACUGUGAAGGAAAGAUGAAAAGAACUUUGAAAAGAGAGUGAAAAAGUACGUGAAAUUGUUGAAAUGGAAGGGCUUGAGAUUAGACAUGGUUGCUUGUGCUCCACUUUCUUUUGGGAUUGUGUACUCGCUUGUAACCGGGCCAACAUCAGUUUUGGUGCUAGGAUAAAUGACAUUGAAUGUGGCUCUUCGGAGUGUUAUAGCCUUGUUAAAUACUAGCAACCGGGACUGAGGAAUGCCUUUGUAGGAUGUUGGC
rnacentral:rRNA from 1 species